AGAGUUUGAUCCUGGCUCAGAUUGAACGCUGGCGGCAUGCUUUACACAUGCAAGUCGAACGGCAGCACGGGGCAACCUGGUGGCGAGUGGCGAACGGGUGAGUGACAUAUCGGAAUAUGUCCGGAAGUGGGGGAUAACGUAGCGAAAGUUACGCUAAUACCGCAUAUGCCCUGAGGGGGAAAGGGGGGGAUCGCAAGACCUCUCGCUUUCGGAGUGGCCGAUAUCGGAUUAGCUAGAUGGUGAGGUAAAGGCUCACCAUGGCGACGAUCCGUAGCUGGUCUGAGAGGACGACCAGCCACACUGGAACUGAGACACGGUCCAGACUCCUACGGGAGGCAGCAGUGGGGAAUUUUGGACAAUGGGGGAAACCCUGAUCCAGCCAUACCGCGUGAGUGAAGAGGGCCUUCGGGUUGUAAAGCUCUUUCGGACAGAAAGAAAUCGUGCAGAUUAAUACUCUGUAUGGAUGACGGUACUGUAAGAAGAAGCACCGGCUAACUACGUGCCAGCAGCCGCGGUAAUACGUAGGGUGCGAGCGUUAAUCGGAAUUACUGGGCGUAAAGCGUGCGCAGGCGGUUUUGUAAGACAGGUGUGAAAUCCCCGGGCUUAACCUGGGAACUGCAUUUGUGACUGCAAGGCUAGAGUGUAGCAGAGGGGGGUAGAAUUCCACGUGUAGCAGUGAAAUGCGUAGAGAUGUGGAGGAAUACCGAUGGCGAAGGCAGCCCCCUGGGUUAACACUGACGCUCAUGCACGAAAGCGUGGGGAGCAAACAGGAUUAGAUACCCUGGUAGUCCACGCCCUAA
rnacentral:rRNA from 1 species